GUCGCUCCGCCUCACUCCUCGAUCUCGCGGGAACAGAAAACGCUCGCGCUGUACCCGUUUUUUGAAAAGUUGCGAAACGGUUUACUUCUUCAAAUAAUCAGCUGCUCCUGCAGUGCUCAAUUGAUAGGGGAAUUGGGAAAUCGGUGGGAAGAGUUAAAGUGAAGCUUAGGACUUCGAGAACAAUGGAUUCUCAGCCUACUUCUUCUGAUGCAUACACACAAAGUGAUACAGGUAAGAGUGGCCAACAAGUUGGUUUGGAAAGACAAGGUGUGGUUUCUGAGAAAAUGGAGGAUGGUGCCAAUUCAUUGCAUGAAAUAAACGUUGGUGCUUCUGGGAAUGCGUCGAAGAAAACUGGGAGUACAAAGAUUAAAACAUCAAAGGAGUUGGGGUCUAGUGUCAACCACAGUACUGAUCCUGUUCCUGCACGGACUGAGAGUCCACAUAAAAGAGAAUCAAAGAUGGCUGGUCAAGAUUCUCGUUAUAACAAGCAAGAAUUAGGAACUCUAUUGAUAAGAUUAUUCAAUAGUUGUUUGUUUAUGUUUGUUUCAUGCGACUCUUGUCAGAUACACAUUGCACAAAAAUUUGAACUGAAGUCUUGAACAAUGCCUUUUCUUUUUCUUGGUAUUUUUUUUUUUUUUGUGUGCUCCAUUUCAUGUCUCUGAGGUUCGAUUUCCGACUGUUAUGCUAUGAAUACUGCAUCAUAACUAAUUUCCUUUGCUCAUGCUUUUAUUAAUGACAUUGUGUUUUGUUUUGCGGGCGUGGGGUUUGUCUGGAAUCAGGAUUACUUUGAUGUGAUAGAUACACCAAUGGAUUUUGGAACAAUAUGCAGUAAUCUUGAACAGGGUCGCAAGUAUAAUAAUUCCGAGGAUGUUUUCAGAGAUGUGGAGUACAUUUGGAACAAUUGUUAUAAGUAUAACAGUAAAGGUGACUACAUUUUGGAUCUUAUGAGGCAGGUGAAGAAGAAUUUCACCAAGUAUUGGACUGCAGCCGGGUUGUGUAAUGGACAACCAAGAGGAACUAAUGAAGGCAUCAUAAAGUGGAUUGCUUAUGUGCUAUCUGUGUUUUAAAAGGCCAUAGAAGGGAGCGUGAGGAGAAUGAUCGAAUUGCGAAGAGCCAUGGAGCUAGUGAUAAUAGUCUUGCUCAAGAACUCAAGCAAGAGGAAUCUUCACUUGCGGAAAGUCCUGGUGGGAAUUCAUCUUCGGAUAUGGAUUGAUCAUUGGAGCCCAAUAUAGAUGCGGAGGUAGAAGAAAAGGGAGAGGAUACGAAAAUGGGGGUAUCCAAGCAGCAGUAUGGUCCGUCAGGGGAUAAGCAAGAGGAUGAUGAGGGGAAUGAGGAGGAAGAUAGUGACACAGAGAUGAAAGACGAAGAUGAUGGUGAAGCACUAGAGCAGUUUGAGAAGGCAAGAGAAGAGCCUAAUAAGCAAUUGCUACCAAUAACAGCUGAUGCUUCCGCCGGAGUCCAAACUGAUACAAAGAGAAUACAUCGGUGCAGCAUGAGGAAGGAAUUGUAGUCGAUACAACCUAAGUUGCAGGAAUCGCAAGAAAGGCAAAAGAAAGUUAAAGCAUAUGAAAGCCUGCAGUUUGAAAAUCCCAUGCUUUUGGAUCUAUGUGGGACUCUCUUCCCUAACAAUAGUAAGUCUGUCUGCCACUCAAUAGUACGGUUUGGUGGUAUUCCUCUUCAUGCGGCUAUUAACAUGCUCAUGAAGUAAGUCCCUGUCUUUUGGGCAUAUGAGGUAACUGAAAUAUCCCUGUACACGCAUGCUUGGGCAGUGCAGUUUUAGUUGUUACUGAUGCGUAAUGAAAAAUCGAGCAGAGGAUGGAAACUCAGCUAUGGUGACAAAUGUUCUAGAUAGUUGUCUUCCAGUUCCAGUCAUUCUCUACUUUCUUUCCUGUUAUGUUUGUGAAGUAAUAGCUCGAGAUUUUUCGAUUGCAUGUUCUUCGUUGACUGAAAGGAAAAGGAUUGUUGUGGUUCUUGCCUAUGAGGGUGACCCAAGAGCAAGCCAGAGACCUGUUAAUUUACCAAUGAUGCAGCAGCAUCAAGAGGUGCUAAAUUGGCCGUCUCCAGGAGCAUCUCGAAAUCUUGCAUCCAUUGUAUUUAUACUUACCUGACAUCGUUUUGGCACUCUAGGACGGUGAGGGAAAGCUCGUGCCUGCGGUUGUUUAAUCCCGUGUAAUUGUGGCGAGUGGUGCUAGUAAAUCACUUGAAGUAGUAGCAGAAUUCUAUUUAUUUUACUUUGCAGGGAGAGGAGAUUCAAAUUCCGGAUCUCUUUCGAUGACUAAUGUUGUGUACGAUUUUCAUAAUAACGUAGUCUGAAUUCUCACUAGGUUAAUUUAAACGAAUUACGUGCAGAGUGCACUGCUAUAGUCAACUUA